rnacentral:pre_miRNA from 1 species
AGGUGUAGAUUGCCAUUCAACUGUUAAGAAAAAACUGUUGAAAGACGUUCUAUAUCUCU